UGAUGUGGAUUAAUUCGAUGCAACGCGAAAACCUUACCUACCCUUGACAUGUCUGGAAUCCUUGAGAGAUCAGGGAGUGCCUUCGGGAGCCAGAACACAGGUGCUGCAUGGCUGUCGUCAGCUCGUGUCGUGAGAUGUUGGGUUAAGUCCCGCAACGAGCGCAACCCUUACCAUUAAUUGCCAUCAUUCAGUUGGGCACUUUAAUGGGACUGCCGGUGACAAACCGGAGGAAGGUGGGGAUGACGUCAAGUCCUCAUGACCUUUAUAUCCAGGGCUACACACACGCUACAAUGGUCUGUACAAUGGGUAGCCAAGCCGCGAGGCGGAGCCAAUCCUGAAAGCAGGCCUCAGUUCAGAUUGCAGUCUGCAACUCGACUGCAUGAAGCCGGAGUUGCUAGUAACCGCAGGUCAGCAAUACUGCGUUGAAUACGUUCCCGGGGCUU
rnacentral:rRNA from 1 species